rnacentral:rRNA from 1 species
GACGAACGCUGGCGGCGUGCUUAACACAUGCAAGUCGAGCGGAGCGGCGCACGGGUGAGUAACGCGUCAGUAACUGCCCCCCUCUCUGGGAAAACAGUUGGAAACGGCUCCUAAUUCCGGAUAGUGGGGGAUGACUCGCGGCCUAUCAGCUUGUGGGUGGGGUAGGGGCCUCCCAAGGCGACGACGGGUAGCCGGCCUGAGAGGGGGACCAGCCACAUUGGGCUGCGAUAGGUACCAAAGGCCUACGGGGGGCAGCGGUGGAGAAUCUUGCACAGUGGGGGAGACCGUGAGGCAGCAGCGCGCGUGCGGGAUGACGGCUAUCGGGUUGUAAACCGCAGUAAGCCAUGACGCGGUAGUGGCAGAAGAAGCACCGGCUAACUACGUGCCAGCAGCCGCGGUAAUUC